rnacentral:rRNA from 1 species
UACGGGGGGAGCAAGCGUUGUUCGGAUUUACUGGGCGUAAAGGGCGCGUAGGCGGCCAGCACAAGUCAGUUGUGAAAUCUCCGAGCUUAACUCGGAAAGGUCAACUGAUACUGUGCGGCUAGAGUGCGGAAGGGGCAACUGGAAUUCCUGGUGUAGCGGUGAAAUGCGCAGAUAUCAGGAGGAACACCGGUGGCGAAGGCGGUUCUCUGGGAAUGUCCUGACGCUGAGGAGCGAAAGUGUGGGGAGCGAACAGG